rnacentral:lncRNA from 1 species
AUUCAAGCAGCACGCAUGUUUGAGAAAGCAACCCUUUUUUUUAAUUGCCCCCAUAAAUAUUGCCUGAAACUUCCCUUAUUUUCUGUCUUUCAGGGUCAUCCUUCAAUAAAGACACCUCAAAACAUUCCCGGGAAGAGAGACCCCUGUGACAGCAUCUAAGGACAAAGCAGAUGACAUUUCCAUCCUUGCCAAGUGCUGCAGGACCACUGUGUGCUGCCUCCAGGUCACAGUGGCCCAGAACAGAAGCCUCAGAAACUGAAAAAGAUCCAAAAGCCUAUUCUUUCAAGAAGAGAGGAAAGGAAAUCGAUACCUAUUCUGCCUCUACAAAUUCAAAACAGAGGGUCCUCCAAAACAGAAGAAUUUCUUUGUCUUCUUGUUGAAACUCAGCCCUGUUCUGCAGAGGAAGAGACAAGAGCCAGAUAUGAUAGGUAUGUGACUGCUCUACUGACUUCUUCCCACAUACCACCAAAGGAUUUUUCUAAUAGACACUGUUUUCUGCCAUUUGCUGGUUUGUUUUUGUAACUGAGCUUUCAUACAU